AUGUGGUCUCACUCUUCCUCUAGUCGCUUUUUGGUUAAGUCUCUCUACUCUAGGCUUAUCGGUGGCUCUCCCACCAAUAGGUUUUCUCAAGUCUGGCGGGCCCGCGUCCCACCGAAAAUCAAAAUCUUUCUUUGGCAGGCUUACAGGGGUCGCCUGCCGGCGGCGGACUAGAUUCGUAAGCGGAAUGGCCCGGGAUCGGAAUUUUGUGCCCUUUGCAAUGCUAGCGAGGACACGACUCAUAUUUUCUUUCAUUGUGCUUUAGCCAAGUUGGUCUGGAGUUGUGUUAGAUCAUGGCUCCAUGUCUCAUGGGACCCCUCUUCUUUUGCUGAUUUUCAUACAAUGGCUAAGUCUUUGAGUGGUGUCACCAAGAGGGUGUUCUGGUUUGGGCUUUGA
rnacentral:rRNA from 1 species